AGUUUGAUCAUGGCUCAGAUUGAACGCUGGCGGAAUGCUUUACACAUGCAAGUCGAGCGGCAGCGCGGGGCAACCUGGCGGCGAGCGGCGAACGGGUGAGUAAUACAUCGGAACGUGCCCAGACGUGGGGGAUAACUACUCGAAAGAGUGGCUAAUACCGCAUACGAUCUAAGGAUGAAAGCGGGGGAUCGCAAGACCUCGCGCGUUUGGAGCGGCCGAUGGCAGAUUAGGUAGUUGGUGGGGUAAAGGCUUACCAAGCCCGCGAUCUGUAGCUGGUCUGAGAGGAUGAUCAGCCACACUGGGACUGAGACACGGCCCAGACUCCUACGGGUGGCAGCAGUGGGGAAUUUUGGACAAUGGGCGAAAGCCUGAUCCAGCCAUUCCGCGUGCAGGAUGAAGGCCCUCGGGUUGUAAACUGCUUUUGUACAGAACGAAAAAGCUCUUUCUAAUACAGAGAGCCCAUGACGGUACUGUAAGAAUAAGCACCGGCUAACUACGUG
rnacentral:rRNA from 1 species